AAUUGCGGUGUGUUUGCGUUUAUGCGUGAAGCUUGGGUCCGUGUGCGCAAUCCUGGAACCUCGCGUCUGCAAGC
rnacentral:ncRNA from 1 species